CCAUAAAGGGCGCCUGAUCUCUCAAAUGAUAAAACAACCCUCGGCCCCUCAGAGUCCCAAAUGAGAGUGAGAGCAGAUCUUUGAAAAUGAGAGAUGAGAAACAGAGAGAAGGUCUGGAAACCCUAACAAUGGCAUUGGCUCUGUGAUCGGAGCCUUCGUUGGAGAUCAGAGGCAUGAGCGUGAAGAAAGAGAGAGACGACGGGGCAUGAAGAAAAGCUCCUCCAAUGCGAUUCUUGUUUUGCGAGGUUUAACGCCUCGAUGGCCGCCAUUGAUCCACGAUCGGAUCCGUUCAACAGCUCACUGUUGAAAUCGCGUUGUAAUUAACACCAAGACCAGAGAUCUGAUGGGGCUAGCUACACUCCCUGGCAGCUUGCUCAAGAUUCGAUAGGGUGCAAUGUGGAUUGAUAGGCACUGACAGCGGGCCUUCCAUAUCUUUAAGGUAUUCUUUUUGGUAGUAAAAUGUUGUUUAAAAUGAAGUUAUGAAUGGACAAAUAUAGUAAUAGAGUAUUUUAAAAUGUUUCUUCAGGAUGUUGUGUGCUGGUUUGCGAUCUUUACCGUUCAGUGGUUAUCCCACACCAAAUGUUCUUCCUAUGAGUUGCAGCAUCUUGCAUUUUAAAUAAAAGAACCUGUUGUUCUAUGUUCUUUUUUAUUAUUGACAUAACGAACUGUUCUUCCUAUCUUUCCCACUUGUUGCAUUUUAACUUUUUAUUUUAUUUUUAUUAUAUGGUUUUUUGAUAUCCUUUUAUGUUACUACCUGUGAAGUUUGUCCACAUUUUAAAGACAUUAUUCGUUCCUGAAAUGC